UGAAGAACCAGUCCCGGGGCAGA
rnacentral:piRNA from 1 species